rnacentral:rRNA from 1 species
GCAAGGAAUCUUCCGCAAUGGGCGAAAGCCUGACGGAGCAACGCCGCGUGGGGGAAGACGCUUUUCGGAGUGUAAACCCCUUUUCUUGGGGACGAAAGACUGACGGUACCCGAGGAAGAAGGACCGGCUAACUACGUGCCAGCAGCCGCGGUAAUACGUAGGGUCCGAGCGUUGUCCGGAGUUACUGGGCGUAAAGCGCGCGCAGGCGGCUUCAUAAGACUGGCGUGAAAGCCUCCGGCUCAACCGGAGAGGGUCGUCGGUGACUGUGGGGCUUGAGAGUGGCAGGGGCUGGUGGAAUGCCUGGUGUAGUGGUGAAAUGCGUAGAGAUCAGGCGGAACACCCGUGGCGAAGGCGGCCAGCUGGGCCAUAUCUGACGCUGAGGCGCGAAGGCGUGGGGAGCGAACGGGAUUAGAAACCCUAGUAGUCC